GAGCGCAACCCUUGCCUUUAGUUGCCAGCAGUUCGGCUGGGCACUCUAAAGGGACUGCCGGUGUUAAACCGGAGGAAGGUGGGGAUGACGUCAAGUCCUCAUGGCCUUUAUGACCAGGGCUACACACGUACUACAAUGGCCGAUACAAAGGGCAGCGACACUGCGAGGUGAAGCCAAUCCCGUAAAAUCGGUCUCAGUCCGGAUUGGAGUCUGCAACUCGACUCCAUGAAGUUGGAAUCGCUAGUAAUCGUGGAUCAGCAUGCCACGGUGAAUACGUUCCCGGGCCUU
rnacentral:rRNA from 1 species